AUUGAACGCUGGCGGCAGGCCUAAUACAUGCAAGUCGAGCGGAGCGGCGGACGGGUGAGUAAUGCCUAGGAAUCUGCCUGGUAGUGGGGGAUAACGUCAGGAAACGGGAGCUAAUACCGCAUACUAUCAGAUGAGCCUAGGUCGGAUUAGCUAGUUGGUGGGGUAAAGGCGCACCAAGGCGACGAUCCGAAGCCGAUCUGAGAGGGUGAUCCGUCACACUGGAACUGAGACACGGUCCAUACUCCUACGGGAGGCAGCAGUGGGGAAUAUUGGACAAUGGGCGAAAGCCUGAUCGAGCCAUGCCGCGUGUGGGAAGAAGGUCUUCGGAUUGUAAAGCUCUUUUAGUUGGGAGGCGUUACCAACAGAGUAAGCACCGGCUAACUUCGUGCCAGCAGCCGCGGUAAUUC
rnacentral:rRNA from 1 species